rnacentral:rRNA from 1 species
CAGCAGCCGCGGGAAUACAGAGGGUGCGAGCGUUAAUCGGAUUUACUGGGCGUAAAGCGUGCGUAGGUGGUGGUUUAAGUCCGUUGUGAAAGCCCUGGGCUCAACCUGGGAAUUGCAGUGGAUACUGGGUCACUAGAGUGUGGUAGAGGAUAGUGGAAUUUCCGGUGUACCAGUGAAAUGCGUAGAGAUCGGAAGGAACAUCUGUGGCGAAGGCGACUAUCUGGGCCAACACUGACACUGAGGCACGAAAGCGUGGGGAGCAAACAGGAUUAGAUACCCCCGUAGUCCCUGUCUCUUAUAC